rnacentral:rRNA from 1 species
AUGGAUGAGGUCACAAGGGGUAUACAAGGAGAUAUCCCAUGGUGUAUGCUCUUUGCGGAUGAUGUGGUGCUAGUUGACUAUAGUCCAACGGGGGUAAAUAGGAAGUUAGAGUUAUGGAGACAAACCUUGGAAUCGAAAGGGUUUAGGCUUAGUAGAACUAAAACCGAGUACAUGAUGUGCGGUUUCAGUACUACUAGCUGUGAGGAGGAGGAGGUUAGCCUUGAUGGCCAGGUGGUACCUCGGAAGGACACCUUUCGGUAUUUGGGGUCAAUGUUGCAGGAGGAUGGGGGUAUUGAUGAAGAUGUGAACCAUCGAAUCAAAGCCGGAUGGAUGAAGUGGCGACAAGCUUCUGGCAUUCUCUGUGACAAGAGAGUGCCACAAAAGCUAAAAGGCAAGUUCUAG